rnacentral:rRNA from 1 species
UCCGUAGGCGGGCCUGUAAGUCAGUGGUGAAAUCUCAUAGCUUAACUAUGAAACUGCCAUUGAUACUACAGGCCUUGAGUAAAUUUGAAGUGGCUGGAAUAAGUAGUGUAGCGGUGAAAUGCAUAGAUAUUACUUAGAACACCGAUUGCGAAGGCAGGUCACUAAGAUUUAACUGACGCUGAUGGACGAAAGCGUGGGAGCGAACA